rnacentral:rRNA from 1 species
UGGGGAAUUUUGGACAAUGGGCGAAAGCCUGAUCCAGCCACGCCGCGUGAGUGAAGAAGGCCUUCGGGUUGUAAAGCUCUUUUAGUCGGAAAGAAAGAGUUGCAAUGAAUAAUUGAGAUUUAUGACGGUACCGACAGAAAAAGCACCGGCUAACUACGUGCCAGCAGCCGCGGUAAUACGUAGGGUGCGAGCGUUAAUCGGAAUUACUGGGCGUAAAGGGUGCGCAGGCGGUCUUGCAAGUCAGAUGUGAAAGCCCCGGGCUUAACCUGGGAAUUGCGUUUGAAACUACAAGACUAGAGUGCAGCAGAGGGGAGUGGAAUUCCAUGUGUAGCAGUGAAAUGCGUAGAGAUGUGGAAGAACACCGAUGGCGAAGGCAGCUCCCUGGGUUGACACUGACGCUCAUGCACGAAAGCGUGGGGAGCAAACA